AUGGCGCCUCACGACCCGGAGAGUGAAACGGCGGCGCCCGAGUGGCGCGGCACCGUGCGCGCCGCGGCGGCGGGGCCGACGCCCGACCAGGCGUGGGCUCUGCUGCGAGACUUCUGCUCCCUCAACAAGUGGGUGUCGCUGGUGGAGACUUGCCGGAGGCUGGAAGGCGACGACGGCCGGCCCGGGUGCGUCCGGUACUGCGCGGGGCCGGUGAACAUGGCGGCGCCGGGGGAGGCGGUCGGCUGGUCCAAGGAGCGGCUCCUCGAGGUCGACGCCGCGGGGAGGUCCUACAGCUACGAGGUGGUGGAGACCAACAAGGGGUUCGGCAGGUACCGGGCGACCAUCGGCGUGGAGCCCGACCCGGCCGGGUGCGCGGUCAGGUGGUCGUUCGAGGCCGAUCCAGUCAAGGGGUGGACGCUGGAAGGCUUCGUGGGUUUCCUUGAGAAGCUCGCGCAUGGCGUCGCCAAGAGGCUUGAAGAGGAGAUCAUGGUGAACGUCGAUGGUGAUCCUGCUUUGCCAAUAUUUUGA
rnacentral:rRNA from 1 species